ACACUUUCUUACGUCGAAUAUAUUCAUUCGCGAUUAAAUUUAAAAAUGAAUAUUCUCGAGUUAUUUAUAUAUUUACAAAGAAAAAAUAAUUCGAGUAUAGAAAAAGGAAAAAUUACAAUGAAAUAAGAGGAAAAAGCAAAAAAAGUAAAGGAACACUUAUAUUAAGUAUAAUCACUCGAAUUAAACAUAAAAAUAGAUAAAAAUUACCACUUUAUAGAAACAUUAUUCAGUCAGAUAAAAUUUAAAAGCUACGAUAAAACGAUAAAACGAUAAUGUACGAUAGUACGCAGAGAAAUGAAGAAGGAAAUAAACGGAGAAACGUUCACUUAUGCCAAUUAUACUCGUUCACGUUCGAAAAUAGAAAUAAAUAAAAAUAACGACGACGAAUUAUUCAUGCGUCUAGAAAAGAAUCUAAUUCAGAUUCAAACAAAGAGGAAAAAUCAACCACGAAACGAUAGGACAGUUGAAAUAUAUAUCAAUCAGAAUAAUAAUUCAAGCAAUCUCCCAUUCACCUCCGUUCACUCGUAAUCAAAAAAUGAAAUGGAAAAAUAAACAAGAAGAAAGAAAAUAAUAGAUACUUACACGUUUGCAGAAAGUAAGAAAUCGUUUGAUUGAACGAUGACGCAGAGGGAGGAAAGAGGGGGAAUAUACUGGUAUAAGAGGGCCGUCGAUUGUAUUUCACCGUUAUGUCAGACGCGAGAGAGCGAGGAACAUUCCUGGACCGUGUCCAGAAGCGAUCUGAAUUCCUCGCCGAGGAAAUUCCAACGAGGUUGUCAUUCGACGAUCUCAAGUUAACGAUCGGUGGGACGGGUCGAUUCUUUUAUUUCACGUAUGGAAGGGUCGACCCUCUUUCCUCCUGUUUGACGCAACGGAUAUCUUUGAACUGGAUUUCUUAAACGAUUUCAACCUCACCGGUUGACUAGACACUUUCGAGGCAAAGGAUAAGAUAUGAAGAUAGAUGGAUGAGAGCAAAGGGUGGAAGAUUGUGAGAAAAACGAUUUGUGAGUAAUUUUUCAUAUUAUUGAAUUGUUUUAAUUAACAUGAUAAAUUUAGAAGAUUUAUUAUUAAUGGAUUUGUGCUUGAAUUGCAGAUAUUCUUUAUUGAAAUUUUUAUGUAUGAAUGAAACGAGAUAAUCUUGUAUGCAAAUAGUGGAUUGUGAUGCGUUUAAAAGGAAGGAUGAUUUUGAGAUUAUUGGCAGUGAUAUUGAUUCGGUUUUGAUUAAUUUUAGUUAUAAUAUGUGUGUUCACUGAGAUUUUUAUGCGUAAGAAAAAAAAAAUUGGAAUAAAAUAAAAUGGUUGUAUGAAGAUAGGAAAGCAGAAGAUAUUAUGCGGCAAAGAAUGAAAGGUUUUGAAAAAUAUAUACUUGUCAUGAAUGUAUGAAUGGAAGAUAAUGCUUGUAGAUAUCCACAUUUUUUGAAUUCAUUCAUUGAAAUUUACCGAACAAGGAUGAAUAAUUGAAUAAGGCUCUACUUUUCUAUUUUCAUUUAAUUAAAAAAAAAAAAGAAAAAUCAUUCGAGUUAAGAGAUCAAUCAAGUGCUUGGAAUUUAGAUAAAGUCAGAUA